GACGACCGCUGGCGGCGUGCUUAACACAUGCAAGUCGAGCGGAGCGGCGAACGGGUGCGUAACGCGUGAGUAACUGCCCCCCUCUCUGGGAUAACAGUUGGAAACGGCUGCUAAUACCGGAUAUUGGGGGCUGACUCGCGUCCUAUCAGCUUGUUGGUGGGGUAGCGGCCUACCAAGGCGACGACGGGUUGCCGGCCUGAGAGGGCGACCGGCCACAUUGGGCUGAGAUACGGCCCAGACGCCUACGGGAGACAGCGGUGGGGAAUAUUGCGCAAUGGGGGGAACCCUGAUGCAGCAACGCCGCGUGCGGGAUGACGGCCUUCGGGUUGUAAACGGCUUUCAGCCAUGACGCGGUAGUAGCAGAAGAAGCACCGGCUAACUACGUGCCAGCAGCCGCGGUAAUUC
rnacentral:rRNA from 1 species